UCAGAAGCUUAUUGGUGUUGCCAGUAGUAUACUGGCAUGGGGGAUUGUUAUAGAAUUGCACCCAGACAUAGUCAAAUAGGCCAGUGUUAAGGGCAGGGCCCAGGAACCUAUCUUGGAAUGGGCAUUGAGGGGCUGCAGUGAGGUAUACCUUCCUUCCACGCUUGCUGAAACCCGAUAAGGCUCGAGCAAGGUUAUCCCAGUACUGGGUCGAACCGAGCUCGAUGUCGAAGUCUACGCCAUCUAAUACUGCAUCACCUAAUGGCCGAGACGAUGAUUUUCCUCCCAAGAAGUUGUUCCACAGAUAAUUGGCAACUUUUUGGGCAUCAUAGGAAGAGGACAGAGAGUAAUUUCCAACCCCACCACCUAUAGAGAGCAUGACCUUAGUGCCUCGAUUUUGGCAGUUUCUUAUGCCGUUACUGACGGAGGUGCAGCCAUUGGAAGCAGAGUUGCAAUGGCCUGCAAGGUUGAUUGCAGGGGUCCGGCCAUUGCCGAACUUGUUGAGGAAGGCUAUGUUAACGUAGGAGUAUUUGCCGGUGUUGCAGGUUUGAGUUAGGGUCCCUUCAUUGCCGUUUUGGCCCCAGUAGAUGGCGAUGCCACCGGCAUAAGAGGUCUGGAGGAAAGCUAGGACUGAGAGGGAGAUGAGCAGAGGUAUGGAUUGAGGGGUUCUAGCCAUUCUUGAAAGAGCUGGUGUGGCCUGUGCUUGAUUAAUGUGUGUGGGGGUGAGUCCUUUUUAUAGAGUUCUAGAGUUGAAGGUCGUGACUCCCAAACUUUAACCGAGUCAUGUCUUUUCUCGUUGGCUCUAUAAAUAUUAACAAAUAAUAAGAUUGAGAGAAGCUUCAAGACGAUAUUAAAAUGUUAUGAUAAUUGAGAUGGGCUUCUAGAGACAGAUAAAUGGAAUGGAGGAAGAGUGGGAGACAACCAACAUAGGAUACAAGAUAAAUAUUAACAAAUUACGGGAUUGAGAUAAGCUAGUAAAGAAGAUAUUAAAAUGUUAUGAUAGUGAGAUGAGCUUUCAGAGAUAGAUAAAUGUCGAUGGAGGAGUGGGAGACAAUCAACGUAGGCUAGAAGUUUCCCUUGAAUGUUGGACAUUUUCAGGACCUCACCAGUCUUUUGGCACGAGUCGAACUCCAUAAAAAACUCGAAAAUCCAUUAGCCGUUUGAUAAUAUUUUUACUUCAAGUGGUUUUAAUAAAAAUAUUUUCCUUUAAAGUGUAUUUAUUAGAAUCAUCUAAAUAUUUAUUAAAAAAAACUAUAUUUUUUAAAAUUUUAAAAAUAUUUCUUAAAUUUUAUCCAACACCUAAUAAUGUUUUUUUUAGAAACAUUUUUUAAGGUAAAAAGGCUUCCUAUUUUUUGGCAAAUGUACUCAAGUUUUGUCACAUACGUGUAACUUUCUCAUCUUAUAGUCAAAGGAAUCCAGUUGAGUGCUUGAGAGACUUGGUUGAGCUGGGUGAAGCUGGUAGCUGGUUCCAUUGAAGUCGUCUCCACCGAGCCUUCAAUGCCACUGAAAAUGUGAGGAGUGGCAACUGGUGGGGCGCUUAUCUCUUGACUCUUGUCUUUCCCUAGUCUGAAGGAAACAUGAUUUGUUUAAGAAGAUAAGCAAAGCGAUUUGGUUGAUUGGGAGUCAAUGAUUCUGCUAAACUUCACAUAUAUGUGAAAGAAAGAUGACAAAGACAGGGCCUAGUUACUUGCCGGCCGGAUGCAAGGCAGUCAGCAAAGAGCACCAAAGACAGUUUACUGACGAUAAUGGCAUCAUAGUUCAAAUGGUUUCGAUUUUCAAUAAAUGAAAUGUAACAACCCUGUACAUGAGAUAGCUUUUACGUUCUAAAAAUACAUUUAUAUAGUUUCACAAUAACACCAUGAUAUCGUGUUUAGUAAGAUUGCAAGACCAUUUGGACAAACACCCACUAUAGGAUGGAUCGACUUUAAUAUAAUUUAUAAUGACCCUUACGGGAUGAAUUGACUCUGAUAUAAUUUAUAAUGAUCCAUUUUUUCAUAUGGAGUAGACAAAUUAUAUAGAAAAAAGAGCAAGUCAUUACACGAAAUGCUUAAAACCCGAGAACAGUUGUGUUAAUGGGGUUAAAUCCAAACAACAAACAUAUAGCAAAAGAGCUUUUAUGGUAGCAUAUAAAUAAAUGAAAGAAGAACCUGUUUAACUUGAUUUUCUUAGUAGAUAUGCUAGCAUAAUUUUUAUUAGAUCGAGGAAGAAGAAAACAAAAUUUCUAUAUAUAUGUAUUAUUUUGGGGCUCUUUUUUUCUUUCAUUCUAGUGGUUUGUAACGAUAUGAGUCCAUACUGUGUGCAGGGGAUCACCACCGCCACCGCCACCGCCACCGCCACCGCCACCGCCCAUAUAAUGUUUGUUGUUUGGAGAUAAAAAAAAAAAAGCCCGAACUGACUUAACCAUCGGAGGAGGAUAACUCGGGGCGACAUUGGGUAAGCCUUGAUUUGCAGAUAAAAACGUGCGGCAAGUAGAGGACUGCAGUUUGGGAAAUUCAGCUCCAACAUCCCAUACCAUCAAUUAGUUAUAUAUGAAUUUGUUUGGCUCAAAUUAUGGAAAAAAAAAAUUAUUUUAUUUCGUAGGCUAAUAAUGUAGAUGGUGAUGGACUCUUAAAAUAAUUAUUUAAUAAAAAAAUAAAAUUUAAAAAUAUUCUGAAACAUCUUCACAAUCAUCAAUGGUGGCAGAUGUUUUGUGAACCAACACAUGACUUUAAAUAUUGCUGACUCAGAUAAGGUUAAAAUAAUUUUUGGAUGCCAACAUUUUAUUUUUUAGAAAAUAGAUUUUUAUUUUUUAUUUAUUUUUUAUACUUUUUAAAUAUAUAGGGAUAGAAAUUAAUAUAUUUCAAAUAACUUUGGGGUUAAUCUAGGAAUGAUCUCGAUAAACAUUUUUUUAAUGUAUAAUAAUUUUUAUUAUAAUUUUUUUUUAUAGAAAAAUAGUUAGUGUUUCAUGGCAUAAAAAAAAAGAUUUUAAGAAUAUUUUUUAUAUUAUGUUGCAUAAAAGAAAAAUAAUUUUGGAAGAAACAUCAUUGAGUUAAUUCAAAAAUUACUCUUAGUGAUUAUUUGAAUUUUUAGAAGCAAUUUCUAAAAUAUUGCCUAACAUCUAAUUAUUGUAAGAAAAAAAAUUUUCAGACAUUAAAAAAUAUUUUUAAACUUGUGAUAUCUUGAACGGGUUAAUAACGGUUGGAGUUGGAUUUGGGUACUCAAGUAGGCUUUCCUAACCCAAUCUAACAAAUAAAGAGAUGAGGAGUUUCUCUCACUCUCUCCAAAACAAAAAAAUACCAGUAAAAAAACUCUCUUUAUAAUUUCAUCUUCUUUUUUUUUCUCCAUAAAAGAAGAUUAAAGCAUUUAUGAUGUGAAAUAGAGUGCUUUUAAAAUUUUUGUAAUUUCAUUCAUGACUUGGGGUAGAGAAUUCAUAGGUGAAACAAUAAAUUUAGAUUUGAGGACUUUAGAAGAUAAUUCGAUGCCUUUUUUUUUUUGACAAUAAAUUUUUCAUAUUUUUUCAAUAAAAAGUUUGAAAAAUAUAUAAAAUUUUAAAUAAAUUUUAUUAUAUUUAAUUUUCUCCAUAUUUUUAUAAUAAAUCAAAUAGAAGAACUUAAAUUACUUCUAACUUAUUUUUUGCAUUAGGUUUUGACCAUAUCAUAUGUGUUGGUGCAUGACCAACAAGGAGGUAUCCAACUAGUCUUUGUGUGGUGUAGACGACUUUUUGAACGGAAUGUCCAAAUGGGUUUUCGGAAUAAACCCCUUUGAAGCUUAAGUCAAAGAUAGAAGACUUGAGUAAGAGAUUUUUGGAAAAAGUUACAACAUAUCUUUCCUGUUAUGAAAAAUGAUUAUUUAUCAUUACUCAAAUGUAACAUCUUCUCAGGUGUCUUAAUUGUGUCUUUGACUAUGCGUUGAUGAGCUUUAAUACUUGACAUUUUAUUCUAAUAACAGUUGUGUCAAUCAAUACAUAAUGCAUUUAAUGCUUGUUACAGUUAAUGCUUGACAGACAAGAAUGCAUGGUACCUAACUGUUUGUAUCCGUUUGUACCUUGGGAUGAACGGAUAAUACCACAUGACUUUUGUGUUGAACAUGCCUUGCGUUAGAUGACACUUGGGGAUCAUGCUAGACGAUAAUAAGCGUUUCACAACACUUACAAUGUGAAAAACCCAUGAGUUCAUAAUAGCACAUGAUGCUCUUGUGGUUCAAACCUAUAACCAUGGUUCCAACUCAUGAGUCUAACUUAUGAUACUAAUUUUUGAAUCAAAUCAAGAUAUGCUAAGUCAAUUAUGAUAUUCAACCAUCAUUAUUUGAAUGAUCCAUUUCUAAGCUUAAGAGUGGUAUUAUUAUAACACAAUAAUGUUUUUUUUUAAAUACAUUAUAUGACACAAAUAGAAUAUUAGAUGAUCAAAAUCCAAUCUAAAAUUUUAGCAAAUUUACCACGGAGUAAAAAAGUGACUAGAAAUGGAAAAACAAUCUUAAUAACUAUGAUUAAACACUUGGAUGCAAACAAAUAAAAUAAGGAGAUGGAUGAUGAUUAUUACAAAAAGUUGGUAGAAAAUCACACCUUGUGCACUUAAUCCUCUAAUGGAUAUCAAAUAUAAUAAAAAGUGAGUUUCCUAAAAAGUUGUAUGAUUUUACACCUACUUGAGAAAAUUUGGGUGUUGUUUAGUAUUUUGGAGGUAACAUUUCUUUUUCAUCUUUUAUUUUUUAAUUCUUUAUGAUUUAUCUUGGCUAUUUGUGAUUGGUUAAUAAUUAGUGAACUAAAAGGAAAAUUUUUUCCUUCCAUAGUUUUUUUUAGCCUUUUUGAUGUGACGUAAUUAUUACUAUUUAGAAAUGGUUCCACAUAACACAUAAUAAUAAUAAUAAUAAAAAUAUUAUUAUUAUUGUUUUAUUAUUAAACUCAAUUAAAAAUAAAUUAUUAUUAUAUAAAAUUUUAAUUUUUUAUAAUGGAUGAACUUUUUAUGAUUAAGCUAUUAGAACUCUAUGAGAUCAAUAACAAACACUACUAUAUGUGCUAGUUGUUAUGAAAUAUUGUUUUCUUUAAUAGUUUUCAUUUAUAAAAUACUUAUUAAAAAGUGGACAUUGAUCCUUUUUAUCGGUGGAGGUAAGUGGACAUGGCAUCAUUCCUUUUGGAAGUGGUUUUUGACUUUUUAUAGCACGUGGCCAUAAAAAAAUAUUUUUAAAAUGAAGAGGAUAUGAUUUAAAAAUAUAGGAGAAUCAUUCCAACAGCUGGGUCAAAUCUUCUCACUUUAGAUAUUAUUGUUACGGUAUUUGAGACUGUCGGUGGUGCCGUCGGCGGGCGACGGAUGCCGGACAGGGGAUGUGGCCCGACGGAGAUCGGAGCCGAUGAUGGAAACGAGGAAGAAGACGACUGUGUGGUGGUUCUCACUUCUCAUGGGUAUCUCCAGUGGGAAGAAGGCUUGUUGAGGGCUUCCAAAUGGUAAAAAAAUUAAAAAAAUGGCGGCAGAAAUUUUGGUGCGGGUUAGUGAUAUUUCUAAGAUUUUUUUUUUAAUAAUUUAAUUUUUGUCACUUCGGAUAAAAAAAACAAUAAUAAUUUUUAUAUAAAGUUAAAAGACUUGAUUAUAAAAAACAUUUUAUUUUAUUAAUUUUUUCAAAAUUUAAAGUGAUUUUUAAAAACAUAAAUAAGUUUAUAUUUUUUAUAUAACAGUUUCCGUUUUUAAUAUAAAAAUUGUAACUAAUUUUUAUUUUGAAAAACGAAAAACAAAAAGUGUCAAAACAAUAUCUUAUGAGGAUAAUUUUCUAUUUUUUGUUUUGAGUGAAGUCUUAAAUCCUAUUUGGUAAUUAUUUUGAAAACAAUUUUAAAAAAUAAUUUUUGAGAACUAAUAUUUUAUAAGAAGUCUUUGAGAAGUUGAAAUAUUUUUAAUCUAUUUUAAUAUUUUUAAAUAUAUUUUAAAAAUAAUUUUUAUGUUUAAAGUUUUAUUUUAAGUCAUUAUGCAUAUUUGUACAAUUAUUUUUUAAAACAAUUUAAAAAAUGAAAAUAAUUAAAAAUAAUUAAAAGAUGUUAUUUGAAAACACCCCAUUUUAUCUUCUUAAGAGCAAAAAAUAGAAAAUAAUUUUUUAAUAGUCAAAUAUAUUUUUUAAUUUUUUAUUAUUUUAAAAAAUAAAAUAUUGAAAUCGAAAAUAGUUGCCAAACAUACCUUUCAAUUUUAAAAUUAUUGAAAAUAAUUUUUCUGGAUAUAAUUAUUUUUAAUUUUUAACAAAAAACCGAAAGUUUAUCCAAAUGAUUUUGUUUUUCCAAUUUUAUAAUAAACAAUCAAAUAAAAAAACAUUAAAUUUUUCCUUACCAAUUUCUUUGCCUUGAACUAUUUAGAACCAAGCAUAACCUAUUCUAAACCCAGAUUUGUCCUGCCCCGAUGCAAUAUAAGCCCAUUUGUUACUAGCUCGAUUUAGGCAUGGCCCAUUAUCAGUCCUUAACCCAGCGCAGGCCCCAAUGUAGACUAGUUCCCUGUUGGGCCAAUAUGAUUUGGCCACUCUUUUUCUUAGCCCAUGUUCUUUCAAGUCCAUUAUUAUUUUUAUGUUUACUUUAUUUUUAUUUUUUGAUUUUAAUUUAAUUUUUAUUAUAUUUUUUACCUUUAUUUUAGUCUUAUUGUAAUGUUUUGUGGUGACUAUGAUAUGAUUUUAUUUAUUUAUUUUGGAUAUAUUAUUAAUAUGGAUGACAAUGAGAUGGAUUCAGGAUGGAUCACCUCUGUCCCAAUCUUGUUCUAUUUAUUCAAAAUAAUUAUCAUCUUUGUCCCAUUAAAAAAAAAUUAAACGGGGUGAGAUAGGGUAGAUAUGCAAAUUUCUCAUACCCAUCCCAUCCUAUUUUGUUUAAUUUUUUUUGAAAGACUUUUCUUUAAAAAAAACAUUUGAAAAUUUUUAAUUAUAUUAAAGUAAAUAUGUUUUAUAAAUAAUUAAAAUAUUAUAAUUUUUUUUAUUGAAAAGUAAUUUAUUAUUAUUAUUAUAUAUGUUAAAAAUUAAAAAUUGUUGAAAUUAUUUUUCAUAAUUAAUUUUAUAUAUAAUUGGGGUGAGAAUGAAGUAGGACAAUAUAAUAUUUAAAUCUACCCCAAGUUUUUAAAAAACCUUAUAUCUGCUCUUAAUCUGUUUAUUUAAAUUUUGAACUCACUCAUUAGAGACAAGAAAUACUUGGAAAAACUGUUCCAUUUCUACCUUAAUUAUAAAGCUUGUGGACAAUUUUGAAAACAUUUGAAAACAUAUGACUCAUGUUUUCAAAUGCCAUUUGAAUGCUAACUUCACAUUGUCACAUGAAUGUAUAUUUGGAGGCAUGGAUGAUUUUGGAUGGAUCUGGGAACGACGUACCUCUAGUUAUAGUGGUAAUAUAAUUAGGGGUGACAGAAUUUGUUACGAUAUGUUAAUAUAAUUCAAACUUAACAUAUAUUUCAUGAGUUUAGAUAAAAUACACUCAAAUUUGAAUCAAUUUAUAUAACUUAUUUAAUAAAUAAUUAGUUUUUGAAUCAAUAUGCAUAACAUAAAUAUAAUUUGAAUGAACCUAAUUAAUAAUCUUACUAAUUAACUUUAAAUUAUUUAAUUUAUAUUUAACUCAUUUUAAAUAAAUAGAUUAAUUAUGAAGUUAAAACGUUAAUGAUAUAGAUUUAUACAGGACUAUAUGAGAAUGAGAGAGGUGAGGGGGGAAGUCGUCGGAAGUGGCUGCCGCCGGUGGCGGCCACCGGCUGGCAGUGGUGGUGGCCGCAAGUGAAAGUGAGGGUGGAUGGGUGUGGAAAAGAAAAAGGGGAAGAAAGAAAGAAAAGAAUAAAAAAAAACUGGUAAAAAAGAAAAGGGAGAAAGAGAAGAAGGAGGAGAGAGAGAGCGAAUGGGGACGGCUGGAGAUGGGUUUUGGGUGAUAGGCAUAGGCGGAGAGAACUGAGAAGAGGGAAAAAGAAAAGAAAAGAGAAGAGAGAAAAAGGAAAAGGGGAGAAGAGAAAAAAAGGGGGGACGUGGGAACGGGGCCAGAGUCGGAUUUGAAUGAAUGAAAUAAAAAAAAAAAGAAAAAAAAAAAAGGAAAAAACAAGAAAAAGAAAAAAAAUUAAAAAAACAAAAAAAGAUAAAAUAAAUAAUAAUAAAAUAAAAAGUGAGAAUAAUUUGAAAUAAAUUUUGGGAUUUACAAUCAUUUUAACAAAUUUAUUUAUUUAUAUAUUUAUGUAAAUGAAAUUAGAAUAUCACUAUCUAACUUGUCCAUUUACCAAGUUCAUCAUGCUUUCUAGAUUAAUACAUGUAUAUUAUAUACUAUUAUGAUAUGGUAUCCAUUAGUUAAUUAAUAAAUUAUUUGUUUUUUUGUCAACAUAUUAAUAUAGAUCGAGAUUAGUUUGGGCUUAGUAAUAGCUUGACCAUGGACUGAGUUAUGAUUUUAAUUUUAUUAUUUUAUUUUUAAAAAUUUAAAAAUAAGAUAAAUAAUAAGCCUCCAUGUUUUUCUAAAAAAUAAAAUAAAAGAACCUUUUAAGGGUAUGUUUGGUAUAUGAAAGUUCAAAGAAAAAAAGAGAAACUUUUAAAAUAUAUAUAUAUAUUUAAGAAAAAAAUAUAAUAUUUUUAUUUACUUAUACAAAAUAUAAUAAAUAAUGUUGUUUUUAGGGUGUUAAGAGAAUGUUAUUAAUUAAACCUAAAUUCUAUAAAUUUAAACUUUCCAAAAAUUCUUUUGUUCUAUAACUCUUGUACCUAAACUUUUAGGAAGAUUAAGAAAAUUUUAAAAAUAAUUUUGAAGUACAUGGGUUAAAUCUAUAGUUUUUAAUACAAGAGUAAAUAUAUAAAAUAUUAUUAUGAUUUUAUAUUUGUAAAGAAAAUAAGUGAGACUAAUUGGCAUCCAUUGAAAAUCAUUGGCCCAUUUUAGGUUUGAAACUCCGAGCCUUCUUAGUCCCGCACCCGGCACCGCUCAGGCACCACUAGAGCGAAAUUGAUAUUUAAAAGGAAAGAGAAGGUCAACUCUUUAUAAUUCUUCAUACUAUAUUCUCCAUAAUAUUCUCUUUCACUUUAUCCAUACAUUCAUCGAGGAUGAAAGCUUAUUCAAUAUAUUAUUACAACUGAUAUAGAUAGACUAACACCCAGUUCACACACUGCUCUUAAUGGAAGAGCUGUAUCCACUCUGAUCAUCAUAGUACUUUGACCACAGCAUCACGCCUCCAUACUUGGCUGAUCUCUUAAUGACCGGAAGAAUUUGAGAGGUCAACACAUUGGCCGGAAUAAACCCACUUCCGGCAGCUGCAGAGGAUGCCGGCAGGCCCAUGAAGAUCCGUGAAUUUAUCGAUGAAGUCCACCGGUUCCAUGAAUUCAGAAGGUUAUUGGUGUUGCCAGAAGAAUACUGGCAUGGGGCAUUGUUAUAGAAUUGCACCCAGACAUAGUCAAAAAGGCCUGUGUUAAGGGCAGUGCCCAGGAACUUAUCUGGGAAUGGACAUUGAGGGGCUGCAGUGAGGUAUACCUUCCUUCCACGCUUGCUGAAACCUGAUAAGGCUCGAGCAAGGUCAUCCCAGUGCAGGGUCGAACCGAGCUCGAUGUCGAAGUCUAUGCCAUCUAAUACUGCAUCACCUAAUGGCCGAGACGAUGAUUGUCCUCCCAAGAAGUUGUUCCACAGAUAAUUGGCUACGUUUUGGGCAUCAUUGGAAGAGGACAGAGAGUAACUUCCAACCCCACCACCUAUAGAGAGCAUGACCUUAAUGCCUCGAUUUUGGCAGUUUCUUAUGCCGGUACUGACGGAGGUGCAGCCAUUGGAAGCAGGGUUGCAAUGGCCAGCAAGGUUGAUUUCAGGGGUCUGGCCAUUACCGAACUUGUUGAGGAAGGCUAUGUUAACGUAGGAGUAUUUUCCGGUGUUGCAGGUUUGGGUUAGGGUCCCUUCAUUGCCGUUUUGGCCCCAGUAGAUGGCGAUGCCACCAGCAUAAGAGGUCUGGAGGAGGGCUAGGACUGAGAGGGAGAUGAGCAGAGGUGUGGAUUGGGGGGUUCUAGCCAUUCUUGCAGGAGGCUGUCUGGCCUGUGCUUGAAUAACGUGUAUGUGGGGGUGCGUCCUUUUUAUAGAGUUUUAGAGCAGGGGCUCGUGACUCGCAAACUUUGACUGAGUCAUGUAUUUUUUCGUAUAGGUCUAUAAAUAUUAACAAAUUACGGGAUUGAGAUAAGCUUGUAAAGAAGAUAUUAAAAUGUGUAUGAUAGUGAGAUGAGCUUUCAGAGAUAGAAAAAUGGAGAUGGAGGAGGAGUGGGAGACAAUCAACAUAGGAUGCAAGUCUGUAUCCUGGAAGUUUCCCUAGAAUGCUGGCCAUUAUCAUCACCUCACAUUUCUUUUGGAAUGAUUCUAACGUGCGUGACUUUAGUUCAAAUGACUUUUUGUAAAAAGAAGUGUAUUUGAUAAUGAUUUUAAAAAAUAUUUUAAAAAUUUUUAAUCUUUAAAUGAUAAAUUUUGUUAAGUAUUAAAAGGGUUAGAAGCACUUUAUAAAAUCACUGCAGAACGAACGAACUCUAAAUUGUAAAAAUAUUUUUAGCAUAUUCAUUUAUUAAGUGUUUCUUUGUACACGGGUGAGUUUGACAAUAUUUUUACAUUAAGCGUUUUUGAUAGAAGUGUUUUAUUUGAAAGUGUUUUUAAAAGAAUAAUUUAUUUAAAAAACAUUUUUAAUAUUUCUAAUACUUAAAAAUCAAAUUUUUAACUAUUAAAAAAAUUAAACAUACUUUUAGAAUCAUUAUCAAACCACUUUUAAUUAUAGUGCAUCUAACAAUCAUUUAAAGAAUUAUUUUUAGUUUUUUUAAUUUUAAAAAUAAAAUUUUUUAAGUGUUAAAAAUAUUCAAAACAUUUUUAAAAAUCAUUAUUAAACACAAUUUUAGUAAUUUCUCAAUACUACAUUAUUUUUCAUAUUUUUAAAAAUAUUUUCUAAAUUCCUUUAAACACUUAAUGUUUUUUUUUUAAACAAUUUAGACUAAAACUACCUUCUAGAUAAGUUUUGUCACUUACCUGUGACUUUUUCAUCUUACAGUCAAAGGAAUCAAGUUGAGCAGGGUUGAAGCAGGCUGCUGGUUCCAUUGAAGUCGUCUCCACCGAGCUUUUAAUGCCUCUGAAAAUGUCAAAAGUUGCAACUGGUGCGGGGCCUAUCUCGACUCUGCUUUUCCCUUGUCUGAAGGAAACAUGAUUUGUUUAAGAAGAUAUGAAAAUUGAUUUGGUUGACUGCGAGUCAAUGAGUCUGCUGAGGAAACUUCACAUACAUGUAAAAUAAAGAGGACAAAAAUUACUUGCCGGCCAGAUACAAGGUAGUCAGCAAAGAGCACCAAAUACAGUUUACUUACGAUGAUGACAUCAUAGUUAAAUAAAAUGGUUUUGAUUUUCAAUAUAUGAAAUGUAACAAUUCAAAGCUACCCCAAUCUCAAUUAUUGUUUUUUAUAAUAUUUAUAAUGCAUCUUAACUUAUAUAAUAAUAUUUAUUUAUUUAUUUUUAAAUCAAAUUAUAUUAUAUUAUAUUAUAUUAUAUAUAUUUCAUUUUAAAAAAUAAAUUUAUAUUUAUUCUUUUAUUAUUAUCUUGAAAUUUUAUCUUAUUUGUUAUUUAAAUUUUCGUAUAAAUACAUUAAAAAAGUUUUUUUUUUUAAAAUAGAUUUUGAAUUAUGUAGUCCAACCAACCUAAAUUUAACUUGAUCAAUUUGAGUCUAAUUUGAAUAAUCCGAACUCAAUCUAAGUUUGAACUUGAGUUUGAAUAUCUCAUGUUAGAGUUUAGGUGAGUUAAGUUCGGGUUGAUUAUUUCUUAAUUUGGGUUGGCCUCAGGUUAGUCAUUAAUUUGAUCAACCCGUCCAAAUUGUAACCCUAAUAUAAAGUAAAUUUAUAUAUUUUUUAUAUAAAAUUAUUAUUACUUUUUAUUUUUUAAAAAUAUCCAAAUGAUUUUUUUUGAGGAAAAUGUUGCGAUAAAUCCCCGAUAUAAUGGAAAAAAGGGCCAAAAAAAGAUGAAAAUCACUGGUCAAAUCGUUACAGUGAGCUAUAGUGCACCCUCAAAUUUCUCCUUCUUUUGUGCUGUUGAAAGGGAUUCGGGGUUCAACGCUUCCAACCACUAGGGCAAGCUUGCCCUUUGUUAAAUAGAUUGUACUUAAAAUAUAUAUUCAAAGUCAUCAUGUAAAGAAAUUUUUAAAAGAAUAUUUUAGAGGGCAAAUUAAAUAUAAUUAUUUUAUAAUUAAAUAAAAAAAUUUCUUUUAAUUGAUUACCAAAAAUAUAAAAAUUAUCAUAAUAAUUUUUUUCACAGUGUUUUCAAUAUCAUUAAUGAAUUAAUUAAAUAUUAAAAAAUUGUACAUAUAUUAUAAUUUAUUUUAUAUUAUUUAAUACAAUUGAAUUAAAUGGAUCAUAAUUUUAAUAUUAAUAUAUAUUUUUAAGUUAAACAUAUUAUAAUAAAAUAUCAUAAUAUUAUAUAUAAUUUAAUAAUAAAUGUAUACUUAUAAAAUUCAUAUUUUUAUUGUUGCAUAUGAUAUUAUUAUCAAAUAUGAUAAAUCAUAUUAUACAUAUAUCAAAUUCUUUAAUAAAACAACUUAAAAAUAUCUAUUAUACUUUUAAUUACAUUUUUUAUGAAGUUUUUUUUGUAUUUUUAUAAAUUUUGAUCAAUUUUAGGCUUAUCGAUAUUUUUUUUCAAAAUAUCCACGGAUAUAUCUUCAAUAUAUCCGUAAAAUCGAAAUACCAAUAUAUCCGUGAUUACUGAUAUUUUCAUCCUUGAUUUUUUUUUCAAUUUUUUCAUAAACAUCAAAUAAAAAAACAUUAAUUUUUUUCCUUACCAUUUUCUUUCCCUUGAACUUAACCUAUUCUAUACCCAGAUUUGUUACUUAGCUCAUUUUAGGUCUAUGCCAUCAUAUGGUAUCAGUCCUUAACCCAGUGCAGGGCCCAAUGUAGACUCGUUCCCUCUUGGCCCAAUAUGGUUUGGCCGCUUUUUAACUUUAUUUUAUUUUAUUUUAUAUUUUUUUUUCUAAUUUAACUUUUAUGCUAAUUUUUUUCCUUUAUUUUAUUCUUGUUGCAAUAUUGUGGGGUGGCUAUUACAUGUAGUGGUAUGAUUUUUAUUUAUUUAUUUUGGACAUAUUAUUAAUAGGGAUGGAUGGCAACGAGAUGGGUCAUCCUAUUUCAAUCAUGUCCCAUUUAUUUAAAAUAAUUUUUAUCCCUACCCUAUUAAAAAAAAAAUGGCAUGGGGUGAGGCUGAUAUGCAAAUUUCCUAUAUCCAUCUUAUCUGUCUUGUUUAAUUUUUUCUGCAAGAAUUUUUUUUUAAAAAAAUAUUAAUUUUUUAAUUACAUUAAAGUAAAUAAUUAAAAUAUUAUAAUUUUUUUUAUUGAGAAGUAAUUUAUUAUAUAUAUAUAUAUAUAUACACACACACAUAUAUAUUAAAAAUAAAAAUAAAAUAUAAAUUAAAUUAAUUUUUAAAAUUAAUUUUAUAUUUAAUCAGGCAGACACGAGACAAGAGAAGACAUGAAUAUAUAUUUUGAUGCAGGAAUGAUUUUGGAUGGAUUAAAGGAAUGAUCUUGCUCUAGCUAUAGUGGUAAUAUCGUUAGGAGUAACAAAGUUUAAUAUGAUUUGUUAAUAUAAUUUGAACUUAAGAUGUUUUUUCACAGGUUUAGAUCAAGUAUAAGCAAAUUUGAGUCAAAUUCAUGUCGACUUAUAUAAUCCAUUUAAUAAAUAGACGGUUUUUGGGUCAAUCUGUGUAACAUAAAUAUAAUUUGAAUUAACCCAAUUAAUAAUCUUAUUGAUUAACUUUAAACUAUUUAAUCUAUAUUUGACUCAUUUUAAAUUUGUUCUUAAAUAGAUAGGUCAAUUAGUCAUGAAGUUAAAAUAAAAUAAUUAUUCAUGUCAGGUUUGUAUUGACCUUUGUAAUAAAAUAACGAGGCUUUAAUUUUUCUAAUGAAUUAAUUAUUUUGGGAAAGUAAUUUUACUUGCAUAUAAUUAGUUCAUUAUUUGUUUAUUUUAAAAUUUAUUUUAAGAUAAAAAGAAGAAGAAGAAGAAAUGACCUUGUAAAGCAAACCAAUUAUUUUAGUAAUUUGAUGAACUUAUUUGGACUUCAAAACCAAAUGAAAGUAAUUUUCUAUACCAACCCACUUUUUUGCAUGUAAAUUCAUUUUUGUAGGAAGAACCAUUAUUUUUAUUUAUUUAUUUAUUUAUAGUUAAUUUAUUUUAUUUGUUUUGUUGAGAAAACGAUAAUUCUAUUUAUUGUGGGUCAAUUUUGAUGCGGAAAUUCAAUUACCCGAGAAAAAAAAGCAUGGGAAGUAAUUGUAUUUAUAUCAUUUUUUUUUGUAAAAAGAUAUAAUUUAAAUCUCGUAAAUCAAAUAUUUUUAGAUAGUUUUUUAUUUUAAGUAUCUUUUUGGUUUAACAUAUUAUGGACAUGUAUUUUUCAUAUACAUCCCUAUUUGAUGACGAGACUCGUUUUUAUGUGAAAAUUUGAUUUUUUUUUUUUUAAAGUUGGAGUUAUUAUUUAUUUUUAAAAGAGAAGACAAAAUAAGAAAUAAAAUUCAAUGUUUUUCAAAUUAGAUCAGUCAUUGAACUAAAAAAGUUAAUGGUUCAUGGUUCAACUUUGUACAUAACCAAUAAAUAUAUAUAAAAAGAUAUUUACAAGAGUCCAUAGAAAUGAAACUAAAUAGAAGCGAUGAAAGAAAAUGUGUACCUAAAUAGGUUUACAACAAGUUUAAUGCUCUCUUUUUGUUUAAGGUCUUAUGCUCUAUUUAUAGUCUUCUUGAGCCUCAUUUUCUUUCAUGAAAUUUAAUUCUCCACGUGUUACACAUCUGUGCUAAGCCAGCAUAGCUCAACUACUAGAAUACCAAUAAGAGUAAUGAAAUGGGCCAAUGUAAAACAAAAAUGAGUCUAAAGUAAAUAUCAAAAAAUACAAAGCUUUCAAUAAGCCCCAAAACAACCCUCAAAUUAGUCCAAUAAAUCUCACUAAUAAAAAUGAGCCCAAAUUAAUAAAUGAAACCCAAUAGAAAUAUCCAACAUGCUAUAGGUCUGAGUCCAAAAUUCUAAAUUAAUAACCAAUAUAUGAGUCCAAUCAAUCAAGGUAAAAUGUAACAAACCAAAAUAAAUUCAAUAAGGCCUAAAUUCAAUAUCACAAAACCAAAAUCCAAUAAUCAAUGAAUCCAAAUAAAACCCAAGUCAAACCCAAAUCGUAAAUAUGAAUCAAGGUCCAAAUGAUAUUUAAAUCACCUAAGUUCAAUGUAGACCCUUUAUUUUGUUUCUUUAGUACAUGUCCUAUUGAGUACUCUUUCAAUACUUCAUAGUAAUUCCUUGGUGGUCCAUUGAUACUCAUUCAGCUUCUUUCUGAGCUACCUUUAGAAAUCUUUUGGUUCAGGGACUCAUCUAGACCCCACACUGUAACCUUGGCAACCCCUUGAAUUUAGUUUAGUGUUUUUUUUUUUCACUUAGAUGUUUCUAGGCUUAGGUCACACUUAUGUUUGUUUGUUCUUGACUGCAUGAUUUUGAGUUUAAGGUGAGUAUUUGGACUUGAUUUCGAUCAUGAGAAGAAAAUCAAGAGAUGAUUUUAUAUGUUGCAUUAUUUGAAUAUCUUGGUUACAUACAUGAGACUUGUAUUUUGGUUUAUUUUAUUUAUUUAUUAUUUAUUAUUUUUCUUAUUUCUCAACCACAUCAUUUCUAACUUAUAUUUAUUUUAUUCUAUUUUGCAUGAGCAAAUUGGUUGCAUAUUUUGGAAAGGAGAAUCAAGGUCACAAAUUUUUAAGGAAAAAUAAGGUCAAGAGGCUAGAUUUUUUUUUUUUUUUUUUUUGUGGAAUUGAGAAUCAAAAAGAGAAGCUUUACCUUUCAUGCAUAGGGUGGAUGGAGAAACCAAAUAGAAAAGCAGUAGCUUGCAUAUGGGAGGUGGAUCUAAUUAUGGGAAGAAGAUAGCACCACGCGGCUGCAUCUGGACGGCUGCCUCAAGCCAUUGAAAGGCAAGAGCAACCCACGCCCAUAAAAGGAGAGGAUUAUGCAAGAAUAAGGAUCUCGGCUGAUUCUUGAGAGAGGGCAGAUUAUGGGGCUGUGAGAAAAGAAAAAGGGAACCAAAGGGUGGAGGCAAGGGGGGAUUCUGGACGACAAAAGAAGAAAAACAGAGGAGGGCAGACCAUGCAUCUCGGUUGAUUCUUAGAGAGAGGAGCAGAAUAGAGAGAGGGGGGAACAUAAAACGAGGGCAGUGAAGAGCAAAGAAGAAGGAGAGAGAGGGGGAAGUGGAGGAGCAGGAUAGCAGCAAAAGAAGAGAAGCAGAGGAAAGCUUUCCAGGUAUGAUCAGAAGAUCUCUCAUCUUCCGCUAUUCUCUUUUCCUCUUGAUUAUUAGGUGUUAUUUGCUACUUGAUGUUUCUGUUGAUUAUUGGGUGUUUUCUUUUGCUGCUUGAUGUUUGAGGAAUCAUGUUCAAAUUUUGUUUAAACUCACCUUGGUACGUUCAGUUGUUUUUAAUCCAUUGAAAGAGCAUGAAAUGUGGCUUAUUUGCUGUACUUUGCCUGUUUCUUCUCUGUUCUUCUUGGAUUUCAUUGCUAUCUUUCUGCGUCUAUGUUUCUGCCCUUUUCCAUCUUUGAUACCUUAAUCUUUGGAAGUCAUAAUAGCAUGAAUAUCUUAAGAAAAGCUGAAACUUUGAAGAGGACCAUGUACAUUGUGGGUUGCUUGUGGGGUUUGGCACAUGGCUGCAGUUUGUUGAAUCAGAUUGGAUAUUUCUUCUUCAAGGCAAUAAAGUUGUUGGAACGCGUUCCGGAUGUGAUUUAGUUGGAUGCAGCGGUUGCUCCUACUUCUGGGGUUCUCUGUUCGCAGUAUUCUGGGUUGUAGUUCUGGCGGGUUUUUCUUUAUCUCAACAGUGGCAAUACCUUCAAUCAAAGCUACUGUCAUGGAGGGAUAAUAUCGUAAAUAUGAUUAGUACCUUUCAAGCCAGCAGGAUACACGAGAUGACUCCCAGGCAAUGCAAAGAUCUGUAUACUCAUCUGAAGGUGAUGGUUUCUCUGGUUCUGAUUUGGGUCUUGGCUCCACUUUCAGAAGCUCCAUCUUUGUUUCAUUCUCCUUUAAAAUAAUGAAGUAGUGGUACGAAUCUGCUGAGGAAAGAAUGUCAUCUCCAAUUGUACGCCCAACCUGUCUUUGGUUCAUUCCCUUCACUUUUCGCGUGCAUGUAGUUUCGGAAGUGCAUGGUCUCCCUCAUGAACUGCAGAUUCUUGAACUUGGUUCCAGCAGAUUACUGGUAAUGGAGAACUUGCAAACUUUAACAAGAAUCUCAAAUAAAGAAGUUCCGUAAGCUGACCGAAGCUCAUGAAAGUGUCGAACCAUCUCGGGGCCUUCACUCCCUGAACACAGCUUAGGUUCUUAUUUUUCCGUAAGCUGCAGCUGUACCAGAAAGCAAUGGAACGGAGAAGACUCUCACCUCGGAAUGUAUUCAUCAUGGAUACAGGGAUAGGGGAACUACCACAAUCUACCUAAUUUCCUUUGUCCGUGAAGUUCUGUUUGAAAAUAAGGUGCGUGAGCUCAUGGGAGUGUGCGAGGAUGAAAUGAAAGUGAUUCAUUAGAUGGGAGAAAGAGUGGGCUCUUCUUGAAGUGAAAUUAUAGGACUGAAAGCUCCGCCGUUUGCAUGAAGUCCUGUCAUAGCUUCUCUGAGAGAUAAUAUAGCAUUCCUUGAGCGCAAUGCACUAUUCCAGACAAAGCUUCAAGUAGCCGACAAUGAUCAGAAACCAAAGAAUAUGGAAGUGGUGGUUGGUGAAAACAGCUUCCAAGAAUUGAGAGAAGGUCAGGGCUGCUGAAUGUACAAUGGAUUAGAAAGUGUUGAAUAAGAAAGAUCCAAAGCCAAUAAAUGCUUUGAAGCUAGAAACUAGGUUGAGACUGCUGAACAUAGUUCCACCUGUCCGUCACCAUCCUCCCCACGUGCAUGCAGUUGUGGCCAUGCAUGUUCACCCUUCUUACCUCAAUGCAGUCUUCUAAGUCCCAAACAUGCAGCUCCUUGUUUUCCCAAUUAUUGAAUUGAUUUGUUUUCAUCAUUUUUUUAUUUCUUUUACUUCAACCAAAAUAAUAAUAAUAAUAAUAAUCCAAUAAUUUUUUAUAUGCUUUUUAAAAUUGGUUUUAAAACUUUGUUUUUGAUAAAUUCACUUCUUUUUAAAUUCCACCUUAAAAAUCUUUUCUAGUUUAAUAAAAAUCUUUUCUUCAAAUUAACUUGCUGCCAAUUUCCUUUUGGCAUGCAUUCUUUUAUUUUUCUUGAAAAAUAUUUUUCUCAAUUUUAAUAAACAUGGUUUAAAUCCUAUAAUUAAUGGAAUUCCCCCAAAUUUCUAUGAUCCCUCCUUCUUGACUAUUAGGAAUAUGAAGCUUAUGGACUUAAUUCAUGCAAAGAUAAAUUAGUCAUUGGUGGGGCGCAAAACAUGAGUUUUCUCCUUUCACUUUUGGCUGCUAUGCUUAGUGAAUAUGGAUUGAUCUUUGCCUUGCUCUAUGACAUACUUGUGAUUAUUCUAUACUUGUUAUUGUACACUAACCCUGAUUCUCAUGUAGUGUGUAAUUGCCGGCCCAAUGCUAAGGUACGUACCUAAUCUUCAACUUUUGAAAUUACAUGAAUAUGCAUGUUAUUGUGAGUUAUGUCCAUACUUGAUGCUAUCUUUGAUUGCCAUGAUGCUUGCUUGAUUUUCUCUGAUGAGAUCCGUGUUAUAUAUCUUGUUGUUUGAACUAACUCUGAUGUCUUGUGAUAGCGCUUAAGAAACAUUCUAGGUAUAUACCCUAACUCUUCUUUAUGAUUGCAAUUUGAAUUCUUGUUUGGAAUGUUAAUGUUAAUAGAAUUUUAGAAUCACCUUAGCUUUUCUUGGUACCCUAAGUCAAUAAGUCAAUUGCCAUAUUUCCUUUAAUCUAGCUAAUAGAGACCUCCUUAGGUAUUAAAGAGGUGUUACUUCUUUGAGAUACCUUCCAAAAGGUAAUAUGAUCCUUAGACCCAAACUCGGGCUUUUUGAAGAUAUGUUUUUUCAAAACUACGAAGUCAAAUUUUCUUUUAGGGUUUUCUUUCUUGAUUUAUUUUCAUUUUUAAAAUAAUUUAAAUAAGUGGCAUAUAUAUAGUCUUUCACCAACAAGAAAUCAUGAAAAAUGCGGGUCUGCACUCAACCCAAAGUCCACAAAUAACAUCUAAAUCAAGUAAAUGCAUACUUAAAAAUAAUGAAAAUAAUCAAUAACAACCAAUGUAAUAUAAAAAUAAAAUAACCAAUUUCUUUAGGAAACCAUGGAUGGAAGGUGGCAAAGAAGUAGAAGUGAGGGAAAAGAGAAGAAAAAAAGAAUAAAAAACAUAAAAUAAAUAAAAAAAGAAAAAGAAAAUAUGUGAGGUGAGAAAGAAAUAGAAAAUGAAAGAAAAUGAGAGAAUAAGAGAGGUGGGGGGAAAUGGGGGAGGGGUGGAGGGGUGGAGGGGAGUCAUCGAAAAUGAUUGUUGUUAGUGGGGGCCAUCGAUCAAUAGUGAUGGUGGUGGUAGGUGAGAGUGGAUGGGUGUGGAAAAAAAAUAUAAAAAAAGAAAAAGAAAAGAGAGUCUAAUGACCAAAGAAAAGAUGCAAAGUUGAGAAAACAAUUUUUUCUUAUUGACAAUAUUUUUUCAUUGUCUUUCCCAUUGCACUCUCCUUAUUUUAUAUAAACUAUUAAAUAGAAAUAGAAACGGAAUAAAAUAAAAACUAAUUCUAAGGAUUCUUUAUUUCCUUAACUAAUUAGGAAUAGAAACCAAAAAUUGAGGGAUCCUAGGGAUCCUUUAUUUGGGUCGUAACAUUCUCUUCCCCGUUAAAAGAAGGAAAUCCUCUUAAUGGGUGAUAAUUGACUAUUCUAAUUCAUUCUGAUUCCCAUAGAGUUCAAUGUACUCUCUCCACUUUUGUUAGAGUCCUUGACUUCCUUGAGAAUUGCCUUCAUUGUCCCUUCCUACAACAAGGCUAACCCAAUGGUUUGGGCUAGUGUGUGUGGUCGAAACAUGGUGACUUGAUUUUUAAUUGCUUCUUUCAAGCCAUUAAUGAAACAUUAACAAAAAAUUCAUUUGACAACUUGCUAGUUUUGGCCAUCAACGCUUCAAACUACUUUUGAUAUGCCCUAACCAUAAAAACUUGUUUCAAUUUGGUUAUUUGCCUAAUAGGGUUAUUGUAAACACUAGGGACAAACCUAUAAACAACAUUUAUAGAAAACUGUGUCUAGAGAAAAUGAAAGAAGUGAAAAGUGAAAAAAAUGAGAGGAGAAAAAAAAAAGGGGAGAGUUCGGUAUAAAUGAGAGAAAAAAAAAAGAGGAAAAAAUAAGGAAAGAAAAAAAAAAAAAAGAAAUAAAAGAGAAAAAUAAAAGAAGUGAAAAGGGUAAAGAGCGAGGAGAGAAAAAAUGGGAAGAGAAGAAAUGGAGAGUCAGGUGUGAAUGAGAGGAAAAGAAACGUGAUAAAAAUGAAAGAAGAGAAAAUGUUAAAGAGUGAGGAGAGAAAAUGGGAAGAGAAAAGAAAAAAAGGGAGAGUUAGGUGUGAUGAGAGGAAAAGAAACAUGAGAAAAAUGAAAGAAGAGAAAAGGGUAAAGAGUGAGGAGAGAAAAAAUGGGAAGAGAAAAAAAAAGGGGGGGAGAGUCAGGUGUGAAUGAGAGGAAAAGAAACAUGAGAAAAAUGAAAGAAGUGAAAAGGGUAAAGAGUGAGGAGAGAACAAAUGGGAAGAGAAAAAAAAGGUGUGAAUGAGAAGAAAAAGAAACUUGAGAAAAAUGAAAGAAGUGAAAAGGAAAAUAUGAGAUGAGAGAAAAAAUGGGAGAGUCGGGUGUGAAAUGGGGUAAAAACAAGGAAAGAAAAAUGAAAGAAGUGAAAAGGAAAAAUGAGAGGAGAGAAAAAAUAGGAAGAGAAAAAAAGGGGAGAGAGGCGGAUGUGAAUGAGAAAAAAAAAAGAGGGAAAAACAAGAAAAGAAAAAAGAAAAAAAAAGAAAGAAAAAGAGAGAAAAAUGAAACAAGUGAAAAUUAAGGGAAAAUGGGAUGAGAGAAAAAAUGGCAAGAGAAAAAAAAUGGGAGAGUUGGGUGUGAAUGGGAGAAAAAAGAAGGGAAAAACAAAAGAAGAAAAAGAAAGAUAAAAGGAAAAAUAAAAAAUGAAGUAAAAAAUAAUCAAAUAAACAAAUAAUAAUAAAACAAACUAAAAUAAAAUAAAAAAGUGAGAAUAGGUUUAUUACAAAUUUUGGGAUUUACAACUAUUUUAACAAAUUUAUUUAUUUAUUUAUGCAUUUAUCUAAUUAUCAUUAUCACUAUCCAAGUUGUCCAUUCAUCCCCUUAAUCCUUAUCUAUCCCUUUUUACUUGAUCAUCAUUUUGAUUAUCAUUUUUUCCACUAGAUUAAUAUAUGUGUACUGUUUGCUAUUAUGAUAUGGUAUCAAAUAGCUAAUUAAUAAAUUAUUUGUUUUUCAUCAACUCUUUUAAUAAAGGUUGAGAUUAGCUUGGGCUUAGUCAUAAUCUUGCCCUAGACUGAAUUAUGGCUUUAAUUCUAUUAUUUUAUUUAAAAAAAUUAAAAUAAGAUAAGUAGUAAGCCUGCAUCUUUUUCUAAAAAAUAAAAUAAAUGAAACUUUUAAGGCUAUGUUUGAUAUGUGAAAGUUCAAAGGAAAAAAAGAGAAAAUUUUGAAAUAAUUUUUCCUAUAUAUAUAUAUUAAGGAAAAAUUAUAAUUUUUUUAUUUACCUAUAAAAAAUACAACAAAUAAUAUUAUUUUUAAGGUGUUAAGAGCAUGUAUAUUGAAACUAAAUUUUACAAACUUAAACUUUUAAAAAAUCCCGUCCUUCUAUAACAUGCACCAAAACUUUUAAGUAAAUGGGUAAACCUAAAUUUUUUUUUAUAUAUAAGUAAAAUAUAAAAAUUAUUAUUAUCAUUUUAUGUUUGUAAAGAAAAUAAGAAGUGAGACUAAUUGGCAUCCAUUGGGAAUCAUUGGCCCAUUUUAGGUUGGAAAAUCUAAGCCUUCUUAGUCACGCAUAGCGAAAUUGAUCAUAUUUAAAAGGAAAGUCAAGGUCAACUGUUUCCAAUUUUCCAUACAAUAUUCCCCAUAAUUUUCUCUUUCAAUUUAUCCAUACAUUCAUCAAGGAUGAAAGCUUAUUCAAUCUAUUACUAUUGAUAUAGAUACACUAAGCAGAGAAAGACCCAGUUCACACACUGCUCUUAAUGGUAGAGCUAUAUCCACUCUGAUCAUCAUAGUACUUUGACCACAACAUCACACCUCCAUACUUGGGUGAUGUCUUAAUGACCGGAAGAAUUUGAGAGGUCAACACAUUGGGCGGAAUAAACCCGCUUCCGGCAGCUGCAGAGGCUGCUGGCAAACCCAAGAAGAUCCGUGAAUUUAUCGAUGAAGUCCACCGGUUCCAUGAAUUCAGAAGGUUAGUGGUGUUGCCAGAAGUAUACUGGCAUGGGGGAUUGUUAUAGAAUUGCACCCAAACAUUGUCAAAACGGCCUGUGUUAAGAGCAGUGCCCAUGAACUUAUCUGGGAAUGGACACUGAGGGGCUGCAGUUAGGUAUACCUUCCUUCCACGCUGACUGAAACCCGAUAAGGCUCGAGCAAGGUUGUCCCAGUACUGGGUCGAACCGAGCAGGAUGACAAAGUCUAUGCCAUCUAAUACUGCAUCACCUAAUGGCCGAGACGAUGAUUGUCCUCCCAAGAAGUUGUUCCACAGAUAGUUGGCUACGUUUUGGGCAUCAUCGGAAGAGGACAGAGAGUAACUUCCAAUCGCACCACCUAUAGAGAGCAUGACCUUAACGCCUUGACUUUGGCAGUUACUUAUGUCGGUACUGACGGAGGUGCAGCCAUUGGAAGCAGAGUCGCAAUGGCCUGCAAGGUUGAUUUCAGGGGUCUGGCCAUUCCCGAACUUGUUGAGGAAGGCUAUGUUAACGUAGGAGUAUUUUCCGGUGUUGCAGGUUUGGGUUAGGGUCCCUUCAUUGCCGUUUUGGCCCCAGUAGAUGGCGAUGCCACC
rnacentral:lncRNA from 1 species